rnacentral:rRNA from 1 species
AACCUACCUUAUAGACAGGGACAACUAUUAGGAAACGAUAGCUAAUACCUGAUAAGAAAGAAACUCGCAUGAGAGAAGUUCGAAAGUCGGAGCAAUCUGACACUAUAAGAUGGCUUUGCGGUGCAUUAGCUAGUUGGUAGGGUAAAAGCCUACCAAGGCGACGAUGCAUAGCCGACCUGAGAGGGUGAUCGGCCACAUUGGGACUGAGACACGGCCCAGACUCCUACGGGAGGCAGCAGCC